GUAGGUGGCAAGCGUUGUCCGGAAUUAUUGGGGCGUAAAGCGCGCGCAGGCGGUUUCUUAAGUCUGAUGUGAAAGCCCACGGGCUCAACCGUGGAGGGUCAUUGGAAACUGGGGAACUUGAGUGCAGAAGAGGAAAGUGGAAUUCCACGUGUAGCGGUGAAAUGCGUAGAGAUGUGGAGGAACACCAGUGGCGAAGGCGACUUUCUGGUCUGUAACUGACGCUGAGGCGCGAAAGCGUGGGGAGCAAACAGGAUUAGAUACCCUGGUAGUCCACGCCGUAAACGAUGAGUGCUAAGUGUUAGAGGGUUUCCGCCCUUUAGUGCUGCAGCUAACGCAUUAAGCACUCCGCCUGGGGAGUACGGUCGCAAAGACUG
rnacentral:rRNA from 1 species